rnacentral:rRNA from 1 species
CCUGGUUGAUCCUGCCAUUAGACUUGCUUGUCUCAAAGAUUAAGCCAUGCAAGUCUAAGUACACACGGCCGGUACAGUGAAUCUGCGAAAGGGCUCAUUAAAUCAGAUAUGGUUCCCUUGAUCGCUCAAACGUUACUUGGAUAACUGUGGCAAUUUCUAGAGCUAAUACAUGCAAACGAGCGCUGCCCCUGCGGGGUGCGUGCAUUUAUCAGACCCAAAUCCCAAUGCGGGGCUGCUCCUCCGGGGGCGACCCGGCCGCUUUGGGUGACUCUAGAUAACCCUGGAGCCGAUCGCUGGCCCCCCGUGGCGGCGACGUCUCUUUCAAAUGUCUGCCCUAUCAACUUUCGAUGGUACUUUCUGUGGCUUACCAUUGUUGACAACGGGGAAACGGGGAAUCAGGGUUCGAUUCCGGAGAGGGCCUGAGAAACGGCUACCACAUCCAAGGAAGGCAGCAGGCGCGCAAAUUACCCACUCCCGACUCGGGGAAGUUAGUGACAAAAAAAACCAAUACAGGACUCUUUCGAACCCUGUAAUUGGAAAUGAGUACAUUUUAUCCUUUACGAGGAUCCAUUGGAGGGCAAGUCUGGUUCCCAGCAGCCGCGGUAAUUCCAGCUCCAAUUGGCCUUAUCUUAAAGUUGCUGCAGUUAAAAAACUCGUAGUUGGAUCUCGGGAUCGAGCUGGCGGUCCGCCGAAAGGCGCCGAGCUACCGCCUGUCCCAGCCCCUGCCUCUCGGCGCCCCCUCCAUGCUCUUAGCUCAGUGUCCCGCGGGGUCCGAAGCGUUUACUUUAAAAAAUUAGAGUGUUCAAAGCAGGCCCGGUCGCCUGAAUACCGCAGGACUUUGAAAAAAUUAGAGUGUUCAAAGCAGGCCCGUUAGGAAUUAAUGGAAUAGGACUCCGGGUUCUAUUUUUGGGUUUUUCUCUGAACUGGGGCCAUGAUUAAGGAGGGACGGCCCGGGGGCAUUCGUAUUUGCCGCUAGGAGGUGAAAUUUCUUGGACUGCGCAAACCGAACGAAAGCGAAAGCAUUUGCCAAGAAUGUUUUAUUAAUCAAGGAACGGAAGGUCGGAGGUUCGAAGACGAUCAGAUACCGUCGUAGUUCCGACCAUAAACCGAUGGCCAACCGCCAAUCCGGCGGCGUUAUUCCCAUGACCCGCCGGGCAGCGUCCGGGAUGCCCCCCGGGCAGCGUCCGGGAAACCAAAGUCUUUGGGUUCCGGGGGGGAGUAUGGUUGCAAAGCUGAAAUUAAAGGAAUUGACGGAAGGGCACCACCAGGAGUGGAGCCUGCGGCUUAAUUUUUGACUUCAACACGGGAAACCUCACCCGGCCCCGGACACGGAAAAAGGAUUGACACAUAUGAUAGCUCUUUCUCGAUUCUGUGGGUGGUGGUCAUGGCCGUUUCUUAGUUGGGGAGCGAUUUGUCUGGUUAAUUCCCGAUAACGAACGAGACUCCGGCAUGCUAACUAGGUUACGCGGCCCCGUGCCGGUCGGCGCCAACUUCUUAGAGGGACAAGUGGCGUUCAGCCCACACGAGAUUGAGCAAUAACAGGUCUGUGAUGCCCUUAGAUGUCCGGGCUGCACCGCGCGCCACACUGAGCGGAUCAGCGUGUGUAUACCUGCGCCCCGAGAGGGCGGGGUACCCCGCUGAACCCCACUCGUGAUAGGGAUUGGGGACUGCAUUAAUUUCCCAUCAACGAGNNNNNNGCUCUCGC